GGGAGAGAAGCCUCUGCAAAAGCCUGAGAAGGACCAUGAACAGUUGAUCAGUGAAGGGUGACUGACGUGAACAGGAAGAACUCAGGAACUGAAGCUUAGUGGUGACACGGAGGAGCUCCGCUGGGAGAGGCCAGCCCCGUCCCUGCAACAUGGAGCGGCACGUCCCCAAGCUGGACGCUCACCUUCCCACCUGAGCAGAGCCUCUUCUUUCGGAGAGAGCCACCAGAGAUAAGGCACAUGAUUAAAUCUCCGGAGGGGCUGGAGCUACCCGCUGACUGGUGAUGGGGAGCUGAGACGGAGCAGCUGAGAGAGACCCACAACUGCCACCCCGCUCACCCCAAGACCCUCAGCACCCACCCGACUCUGCCGGGAAACUCGUCUUGGAAACCUCAGGAUGGGAACAAGCUGCAGUGGCGGGGGGCACUGUGUUUUAGUUGAGGUUCAUAUUGUUCCUCUGAUCCUUUGCUCUCAGAUGAGGUCUCCUUGAGAAGCCAAAUUCCCUUUUGGAUGUGCCUAAGGGAGCUUGUGAACCUGGCUGCCAGCGGUCAGGAAACCACGAGUUAUAUCUGACACCAGAGUUCAUCAGACAAAGUCCUUACAAACACAGGAGUCCAGAAGACAUCGGCUGAAUGUUUUCCUGGUAUAAAGAAGAGGAGGAGGAGAAAGAGG